GCGGCGGGCGGGGCGGGGGCACGGGGGGAGGAAUUGGCGGGGGAGCACCACAACGGGUGGAGCUUGCGGUUUAAUUGGAUUCAACGCCGGAAAUCUUACCGGGACCGACAGCAAUAUGAAGGCCAGGCUGAAGACUUUGCCGGAUUAGCUGAGAGGUGGUGCAUGGCCGUCGUCAGUUCGUACUGUGAAGCAUCCUGUUAAGUCAGGCAACGAGCGAGACCCACGCCCACAGUUGCCAGCGUACUCUCUGGAGUGACGGGUACACUGUGGGGACCGCCGCUGCUAAAGCGGAGGAAGGAAUGGGCAACGGUAGGUCAGUAUGCCCCGAAUAUCCCGGGCUACACGCGAGCUACAAUGGUUGGUACAAUGGGUAUCUACCCCGAAAGGGGACGGGAAUCUCCUAAAACCAAUCUUAGUUCGGAUUGAGGGCUGCAACUCGCCCUCAUGAAGCUGGAAUCCGUAGUAAUCGCGUUUCAACAGAACGCGGUGAAUACGUCCCUGCUCCUUGCACACACCGCCCGUAGAUCGGAAGAGCACACGUCUGAACUCCAGUCACAGGUACCAUCUCGUAUG
rnacentral:rRNA from 1 species